rnacentral:rRNA from 1 species
UGCCCCAUAGUCUAGGAUACCACUUGGAAACAGGUGCUAAUACCGGAUAAGAAAGCAGAUCGCAUGAUCAGCUUUUAAAAGGCGGCGUAAGCUGUCGCUAUGGGAUGGCCCCGCGGUGCAUUAGCUAGUUGGUAAGGUAAAGGCUUACCAAGGCGAUGAUGCAUAGCCGAGUUGAGAGACUGAUCGGCCACAUUGGGACUGAGACACGGCCCAAACUCCUACGGGAGGCAGCAGUAGGGAAUCUUCCACAAUGGACGCAAGUCUGAUGGAGCAACGCCGCGUGAGUGAAGAAGGUUUUCGGAUCGUAAAGCUCUGUUGUUGGUGAAGAAGGAUAGAGGUAGUAACUGGCCUUUAUUUGACGGUAAUCAACCAGAAAGUCACGGCUAACUACGUGCCAGCAGCCGCGGUAAUACGUAUGUGGCAAGCGUUGUCCGGAUUUAUUGGGCGUAAAGCGGAGCGCAGGCGGAAGAAUAAGUCUGAUGUGAAAAGCCCUCGGCUUAACCGAGGAACUGCAUCGGAAACUGUUUUUCUUGAGUG